AGCGAACGCUGGCGGCAGGCCUAAAACAUGCAAGUCGAACGCCGUAGCAAUACGGAGUGGCAGACGGGUGAGUAACACGUGGGAACGUGCCUUUUGGUUCGGAACAACACAGGGAAACUUGUGCUAAUACCGGAUAAGCCCUUACGGGGAAAGAUUUAUCGCCAAAAGAUCGGCCCGCGUCUGAUUAGCUAGUUGGUGAGGUAACGGCUCACCAAGGCUACGAUCAGUAGCUGGUCUGAGAGGAUGAUCAGCCACACUGGGACUGAGACACGGCCCAGACUCCUACGGGAGGCAGCAGUUAGGAAUCUUGGACAAUGGGCGCAAGCCUGAUCCAGCCAUGCCGNGUGAGUGAUGAAGGCCUUAGGGUUGUAAAG
rnacentral:rRNA from 1 species